UUCUCCCUUACUUCUCUCUCGGCUGCCACCGUCGCCGCCGCCCCGCUGCCACAGAUUCCGGCCAUGGCGGCGGCAAGUUGCUACCUAUGCGCCGUAGCCCCGGAUCCGCCGCCUCCCCCACCGACGUGCCCCCACUGAGCAGCCGCCGCGCCAUAUCGACCACUCCCGGCGCGAACGCACCGCCACCGAGUUGCCACCCCCCACCCCCCCGAUCUGCCGGUGAGUAUUUGCUUGCUCCUUGUCCGCAACCACAGGGUCGCCGCCUGAUUCAUCUAUUUGCUCGCGGUUUUGUAGAUGGAUUUGAGCUCGGCUGUGGAAUUUUUGCUUGAGGAUUCCUCCUCGUCCGGCGAUUCAGACAUAGAUACGCUGCUCGAAAGCCAUCGGUAGCAAAUGGUGGCGGUUCUCGCCUUGAAGGAACUCGAGGAGAGGAAGAAGAAGAAACUGUGUGGAUCAAUUGUGGCACUAUAUAUAUAGUGAUGUUAUUCAUCACCCAGGGUGCAGAAUAAGUU
rnacentral:lncRNA from 1 species